rnacentral:misc_RNA from 1 species
UUACUGUAGGAGGGCUGGGA